rnacentral:rRNA from 1 species
GAUUAAGCCAUGCAUGUCUAAGUAUAAACAACUUUAUACUGUGAAACUGCGAACGGCUCAUUAUAUCAGCAAUAAUUUAUUUGAUGGUUCCUUACUACACGGAUAACUGUAGUAAUUCUAGAGCUAAUACGUGCGUAAAAUCCCGACUCUUGCGGGGAGGGAUGUAUUUAUUAGAUAAAAAGCCAGCGCGGGUUCUGCCCGGUUUUGUGGUGAAUCAUAGUAACUUUUCGAAUCGCAUGGCUUCACGCCGGCGAUAGUUCAUUCAAAUUUCUGCCCUAUCAGCUUUCGACGGUAGUGUAGUGGACUACCGUGGCAUUAACGGGUAACGGAGAAUUAGGGUUCGAUUCCGGAGAGGGAGCCUGAGAAACGGCUACCACAUCCAAGGAAGGCAGCAGGCGCGCAAAUUACCCAAUUCUGACACAGAGAGGUAGUGACAAAAAAUAACAAUACCUGGCUUCUUUAGGUCGGGUAAUUGCAAUGAGUACAAUUUAAAUCCCUUAACGAGGAUCCAUUGGAGGG